rnacentral:rRNA from 1 species
AACGAACGCUGGCGGCAUGCCUAACACAUGCAAGUCGAACGAGACCUUCGGGUCUAGUGGCGCACGGGUGCGUAACGCGUGGGAACCUGCCCUUAGGUUCGGAAUAACUCCCCGAAAGGGGUGCUAAUACCGGAUAAUGUCUUCGGACCAAAGAUUUAUCGCCUUUGGAUGGGCCCGCGUUGGAUUAGCUAGUUGGUAGGGUAAAAGCCUACCAAGGCGACGAUCCAUAGCUGGUCUGAGAGGAUGAUCAGCCACACUGGGACUGAGACACGGCCCAGACUCCUACGGGAUGCAGCAGUGGGUAAUAUUGGACAGUGGGCGAAAGCCUGAUCCAGCAAUGCCGCGUGAGUGAUGAAGGCCUUAGAGUUGUAAAGCUCUUUUACCCGGGAUGAUAAUGACAGUACCGGGAGAAUAAGCUCCGGCUAACUCCGUG